AAAAAUGAAGGCCAAGGGCCAGUAGCUAUUGCACAUCUUUUGCACACACCCCUCGAGCCCCCACCUCAAUUGCCAAAACCUUUAAUACCAUUAGUGAGGUUCUCUAGUGAUGCUCUGGUGAUGGUGCCCUAGGCAAAAAAAUGUAGCACUGGCACAUGCUCAAGCCCAGCUUGUGCAUCAUGGCCUAUAAUCAAACUUCAACCAAGGACUUACCAUCAAUGGCAUAUGUUAGUGCAUGGUGCAGGCACAUGCCUCUACCAUCAUUGGCACGUGUUGGUGCAUGGUUCGGGCACAUGUCUCGACCAUCAUUGGCAUAAGCUACUUUUUGGUAUAGGCACUUACCUUAACCACCAUCAGCAUAAGCUAGCCCUUGGUAUGGGCAUUUGUCUCGACCACUACUGGCACAUACUGGCCUUUGGUGUGGGCACCUACUUUAAUCAGCGUCAGUAGAAAAUUCCCCUUGGUGCAAGUAGUUACCUCGACUGCCAUUGGCACAUGCUAUCCUUUUCUAUGAGCACUUAUCUCAAACACCAUUAGCACAUGCUUGGCCUUAAUGUGGGCCCAUGCCUUGACCACUAUUGACACCUAUGAACUCUUAGUGUAGGAUAUGACUAUUUGAAAAUAGUGUCCCUAUUUUAGAUAGUUUAAUGUUUACUACAAGUAUAUAUGUAAAAUCUUUCAUGCUCUUCAAGGGAUGGUUGUUCAGGUCCCUUUCCCCCCCACAAAGGGAGUAGGUAUGUGUAAUAGGCCUGUCAUUAUGUAUAUCCAUGCCGACAUCCCUAUAGAAAAAUCUAGGUUGUGUAUGCCUUUUGGUCAUGCUAUUUGGUGACUUCUUGCUUCGGUGACUUGUAGGCACCCAUGGCCUAGAUAGGCUAGCAUGCAUAUAGAAAUGUGCCUUGGCUAUGCUGAGCUCAAGCUUGUGCCUAUGGCUGAUGCUACCCCAAAACCUAGAGGAAGUCCCUGAAUAGGGUAGUAGCUCUUAGGGUGGUGUAAGUAGAAGCUAUGGUCAUAGGCUAGGUCUUGCCAAGUAUCUUAAGUAUUUGGCUAUCUCAUGGUCCUUUCCAACCACUGAAGGAGAGUGAGCAUUGGUGAAUCGACCAUCAGUGCAAAUCUUAGUGGUAGUAGUAAUUAUUCAAAUGAAAACUUUUAAGGUUGAAGUAGGGAAAAGUUCCAUGUGAACAGCACUUGCACAUGGGUUAGACGAUCCUAGAAGAUGGGGGAAGCCUGUUCAAUAGUGUGUCUAGCAUAAGCUUUGAAAACUAAUCGGGUUAAAAUUCCUAAACCAAGAUGCAAUGAUUGACAGUAAGAUUAGGGAGUCUGAGACAUUGGGGGGCUUUAGGAAGAGUUAUCUUUUCUAUUUAAUAGCCUCCCUAACCUAAAAAUGGCUCAGUUAGAGGUAAGGUCUAGUGGCUAGAAGAGCACUAUAUGUCACAUGGUGUCUAGUAUGCCCCUGAUGACCUUUGAAAAUCUAGAGGAUCAAGUGUUGUCCAUGCCCAUCAUAUUCAUAACCACAUAUGGUUUCCAAGGUGAAUAGCCUCUAGUCGAUGGAACAAUAUAGGUAAGGGAAGUUAGCAAAAUGGAUCCAUUAGCUUGAGAAAAGGAUUGGCUUUGAGGGUUGGACAUAGGGGUCCUAGUCUCGAACUUGUAGAUUGGCUAUGCACUGCUCAAGCCACUCCCAUAGUGAGAGCUAGUCAUCACAUGCCAACCUAAAGAUGAACUGGGAAUGGCUCCCUUAGGGGCUUUCCCUAGGUAAUGAAUAGUUAACUCAACAUUGGUAUGGACAAAAGGAAUCUGACUAUUUAAUUAAAACAAACCAUAGUGAUGGUCCUUGCAGAUACUCAUGUAAUGUGAUUUUUGCCCAGUGCUCUAAAUGUCAAAGUGAAGAAAUUCAACCAAGUAAGGGUAAACAACAGGAGUAACUAUGACUCUUUUAAGGUAGCCAAAUGCCUCAUCAUCUUACUAACAUGCAUGAUUAGAUUAAUGAGAUUCCUACUAUCCCUAUCUAUUAUCCAGCGAAGCCAUAGCUAAGGGAAUGGGCUCAACAAAAUUAGCAAGGAAAGAAAACCCAUAUUAGCUUGACUCUAGUUUGACUUUGUGAAAUGACUUUAGAGGUGUAGAAUGAUAGGAACCUUGAGGCAAAAUUGAAAUACCAUUACUUUUAAUGUUAUUUACUUAUUCAAUGAAUAAGAUACAGGGCAUGAUCCCUUCUUUUGGCCCAAGGCCAGCCUCAGUCGAUCAAUCUGGGUAGAAAACAUUGUCAGCUAGAGAGCUUGGUUAUGGUAGCACAUCUGUUAAAAGAUAACACAAGUGUCCUAAAAUGAUCGCAAUGAGAACAAAAAUCUCGUGUCAAACAAAAAGGUUAAAGCUUGUUUGAUUUUAAGUUCUAGUAUGAAUACAAACCAUGAAAGCAUGGCCUAUCAAUCCUUUAGACCUUCAAAAUUUGAAGCUAGAGAUGUCAGAAAGUUACCACAAGAAUAAUUGGCUUGUGGCAACCAAGUAUUCAUAGCGACGUUGCUUUUUUAUCCUUCAAUGUUGGCUCUUCCUAUCAUUCUGAAGCAGAAUUCACCAAGUGUUGGAUUGUUCACCCACCAAUAAGGAUUGUGAGUUGGUUUGGGACCAUUAUGAGAUAGGUUAGUCUUAGACUACUGAUGGUAGCAUCGCAAUAGUAAUUCAACCUAAUAUGAGAGGAAUCAUUGAUUUGCAUAAUUGGUCAUCAUGCUUGGUUGAAAAGCUAGCAGCAUGAAGCUACCAUGUGCUAGAUUAUGACUGAACACCUCUAAGUCAUAAUCCAAGCUAGAAGUGAUGCAUGCAUCUAUCACCUUGUUGUCAACCCACAGUAGAGGCCCAUGGCCCCCAAAGGCAUGUGUCAUAGGUGUAGCCCUUAUGGUGGACAAGCUACGUAGGCAUCCUUAGAGCUCAAUUCCCACUGAGUGGUAGGUAGAUCCUUUAUAGAUGACUUAAAUACAUGAUGAGGUAUUGUAAGUGGUAGAGUGGCCUUGCUACCAUGAUCUACUAAGAUUUA
rnacentral:rRNA from 1 species